UACAGAGGUCUCAAGCGUUGUUCGGAUUCAUUGGGCGUAAAGGGUGUGUAGGUGGCGCGCUAAGUCGGGUGUGAAAUUUCGGAGCUUAACUCCGAAACUGCAUUCGAUACUGGCGUGCUUGAGGACUGGAGAGGAGACUGGAAUUCAUGGUGUAGCAGUGAAAUGCGUAGAGAUCAUGAGGAAGACCAGUGGCGAAGGCGGGUCUCUGGACAGUUCCUGACACUGAGACACGAAGGCCAGGGGAGGCAAACGGG
rnacentral:rRNA from 1 species